rnacentral:rRNA from 1 species
UACAGAGGUCCCAAGCGUUGUUCGGAUUCAUUGGGCGUAAAGGGUGCGUAGGCGGCGCGGUAAGUCGGGUGUGAAAUCUCGGAGCUUAACUCCGAAACUGCAUUCGAUACUGCCGUGCUUGAGGACUGGAGAGGAGACUGAAAUUUACGGUGUAGCGGUGAAAUGCGCAGAUAUCAGGAGGAACACCAAUUGCGAAGGCAGCUCGCUGGGACGUUACUGACGCUGAGACGCGAAAGCGUGGGGAGCAAACAGG